UAGAUGGAUGCCUGCUGGCUUAGGCGCCUAGCUGUUAACUAGGAUCUUGAGGGAUCGAGGCCCUCCUAUCUAU
rnacentral:tRNA from 1 species